rnacentral:rRNA from 1 species
GUCUAGAGCCGUACCACCCUGAAUGGGCCCCAUCUCGUCUUAUCUCAAAAGCUAAGCAGGGUCUGGCCUGGUUAGUACUUGAAUGGGAGAUGUAUAGCAGACGAGGCACUACU